UAGUGGUGGGAGGGUUAGGUGCCAGGCUCCACCCUACGUGAUCUUCCCGUUUCUCAAGGCCACUGGCGUGGGGGGUCACUGCCCCCAAGGAGGGAACCUAGAGCGGGUGGAGGAGAGGCCGGAGGAGCGAAUGCGAGAAGCUGGGAAAAUGCCCUCCCCGCUUUGGUUCUAGAAUCCCUACUCUCCUGGCAACGGGACCGCAGACGCCAAGGGGGAUGGCAUCCACUGCUACCAGGAGUGUGGAGAAAAAGGGCAGCGGGCAAUCCCAAGCUACAACCUCUGCAGCCUCCUUGGGUGGAGGCCCGAAGGUUUCCCGUUCUGAGGAAUUCCUGACACAGAUCAGCACAGAACUCACUGACGAGGCCUUGUUUGUCGCUGCCUACCAAAUGAAUCCUGUGCCCAUCAAGGAAAAACAGACACAAGACCAAGGGACUCAGAUAUCCAAACACGGGAGCUCUGCCUAGCAGCUUGACAUCUGGAGGAUGAUCUCAACUCUGGUGCUGCUCUUGGCCUCUCGUGCCCUCCCCUCGCUCUGUUCCUCUAGAACAUGCAUCAAAGCUCCUCUUUCACAAUUCAUUCAACAGUUCGGUUUUGGGGCGAUUCUUGGUCUUGAGCAACAUCACCCCUGAAGCCUCCAAAGGGUUCUGGAACCAUCACACACCUCUCCACCCUCAGCUAGCAAGGACACCACCAGAAAUCAAAAACUUUAAUAAAGUGACAGAGAUUCUUCCCUCCUCCCAGGCUGGGCAGUUCUCUCUGUGGGGCGAUGUGGGAGGAGUGCCCCUCCCCCUUUUUGCCAGAUAUGUG